rnacentral:rRNA from 1 species
CGCGUAGGUGGUUGCGUAAGUCGGAUGUGAAAUCCUGAGGCUUAACCUCAGAACUGCAUCUGAUACUGCGUGACUCGAGUGCAGCAGAGGGAAACGGAAUUCCUGGUGUAGAGGUGAAAUUCGUAGAUAUCAGGAGGAACACCGGUGGCGAAGGCGGUUUCCUGGGCUGACACUGACACUGAGGCGCGAAAGCGUGGGUAGCAAACAGGAUUAGAUACCCUGGUAGUCCACGCUGUAAACGGUGAGUACUGGGUGUGGGAGGUGUAAUGCCUUCUGUGCCGAAGCUAACGCGUUAAGUACUCCGCCUGGGGAGUACGGCCGCAAGGUUGAG